AUACUGAAGACACUCGGGGUGAACUAUACCUGCCCUGUUUCCCAGCUGGAGUUCCAGCUUGUCUCAGUGCGCACAUGUACCAGGGCGAAAAGGUUGAAUGAAUUCACAUGUGCGGGCUGCAAAGGCCUCUACAGCUCAAAAGUGGAGCAGUUCCACACACUGCCUCUUGUGCUGGUUCUGCACCUGAAGAGGUUCGGAGGACCUGGGG